GCUUAGUUUAAAGUGUGGUCGUGUGUAAGAGUUUAACAAAAUAUAUAGUGGUGAAAUGGAUUGAUGUGUAUGUGUAGGUGUAGGUAUGUAUUUAAAUAAACGGACAGGGAAUUGUGUGUUCUCCAUCAACUCACCAACAGCUGUUGAGACACUAGUCGAAGCCAUUUUUAAAAUUAAAUUUAACUUGAUUUUUGUUUUUUUGUAUUUAAUAGCUCCCCCGAAAUUGGAAGGCAGCAGAAGGUUGCGUCAGAAAGUAGGAGCAACAGAAGUUUGCUCCUCAAGGUGACUUCCGUUGGCGAACCGAGUUAGCCCGACCUGAAUAAAAUCCAGUGUAUUUCGAUUCACAACUCCAAAUUAGCCUAAUUAAUAAAUUUGGCCAAUUCUCAAAAGAAAAAGAGGCUCCUCAGAGCAACAGCUCCUUAAGAUCUUUAAAGCGAUAAACAAUUUUAUAUUUUUUCCAUGUUGUUGGCAGGAGAAGAUUUCAUGUUCCGCAUUGUCGAGAACGUUGCAAACUUCGCAAAUGUUGGUGUUUCUGGCUUUGAUUUUGCGUAAAAAAACGUCAUAGGUUCGAUUAAUUAACAGUCUAUUUAUGACCUUUAUGUUUUUUGCAC
rnacentral:lncRNA from 1 species